rnacentral:rRNA from 1 species
UACGGAGGGUGCGAGCGUUAUCCGGAAUUACUGGGUUUAAAGGGUGCGUAGGCGGCCCUGUAAGUCAGGAGUGAAAGUUUGCGGCUCAACCGUAAAAUUGCUUUUGAUACUGCGGGGCUAGAAUUAGGAUGAGGUCAGCGGAAUGUGGCAUGUAGCGGUGAAAUGCAUAGAUGUGCCAUAGAACACCAAUUGCGAAGGCAGCUGGCUAGACCUGGAUUGACGCUGAGGCACGAAAGCGUGGGGAGCGAACAGG